GCCCGUCUUAUUUUUCAUCUUUACAGAUAACCCACCACGUUAGGACACUGGUGCAACAUUCACAGGGCUCGGAAUCGUUUUUUCUAUAUACAAAAGUAUUUUAGGCAUAUUUUAUAAUUCCUGUUAUUUUGGAACAGUGUUGCUUUAUUUAAAUUGUGGCAUGGGACUCAAGUAUAGAGUUUAUUGGCAUACAUGAUAUUUAAUUUGAAUUUAGAAUACUGAAACAUGGAUUUAGAUUUAAUUAUGCAUAAAAUAGUUUUAAUUUUUCUUAAUUAAAAGUAAGUUGAAAAUCACAUUUCCGCUACUAGAUUAUAAAUAAAUUUUGAGUAAUAAAGGAAUCAUCGUUAGAAGGAAAAUGUUAAACUUCAUCGGUUUUGUUAGCUCGUGGAUUUUUCUGAAAACAUACUAAGUUUUCUUCUAAGAUAAAUU
rnacentral:lncRNA from 1 species